rnacentral:rRNA from 2 species
CCUGAGCCGUGGCUUUCGAAGCUAACGCGUUAAGAAGACCCCCUGGGGAGUACGGUCCCAAGAUUUAAACUCAAGUGAAUUGACGGGGGCCCGCACAAGCGGUGGAGCAUGUGGUUUAAUUCGAUGCAACGCGAAGAACCUUACCUACUCUUGACAUCCAGAGAAGCCAGCGGAGACGCAGGUGUGCCUUCGGGAACUCUGAGACAGGUGCUGCAUGGCUGUCGUCAGCUCGUGUUGUGAAAUGUUGGGUUAAGUCCCGCAACGAGCGCAACCCUUAUCCUUGUUUGCCAGCGAGUAAUGUCGGGAACUCCAGGGAGACUGCCGGUGAUAAACCGGAGGAAGGUGGGGACGACGUCAAGUCAUCAUGGCCCUUACGAGUAGGGCUACACACGUGCUACAAUGGCGCAUACAGAGGGCAGCAAGCUAGCGAUAGUGAGCGAAUCCCAAAAAGUGCGUCGUAGUCCGGAUUGGAGUCUGCAACUCGACUCCAUGAAGUCGGAAUCGCUAGUAAUCGUAGAUCAGAAUGCUACGGUGAAUACGUUCCCGGGCCUUGUACACACCGCCCGUCACACCAUGGGAGUGGGCUGCAAAAGAAGUGGGUAGUUUAACCUUUCGGAGAGGAUGGUA